UAAUAUAAUUGAAUUUUAUUUACUAGUUUUAUCUAGUCUAAUUUAUCUAGUUUAAUCUUAUAUUUAUUUUAGGAUGCUAAAAGUUAACUAGCAGUUACGCAAAUUUGUAAAUUUUAGGGCUAAAAGAGGCCGAGGGUAUACUCAGUAAACACAUGGGAAUUAAACAAAAUUGUAUCAAGUUUAUAGCUUAUGUCCAUGUUGCACAUUGAGACUCUUAUUUUUUCGUCAGUGCAUAUUAUCGGCCACUUGGAUAUGAAUAAAUAUCCAAGAAAACACAUCAAAAAUAUAGAAACAUUUGAUUUUUCCAGUUGUGACCUGCAUUACUUCAACAAAAUUUCUGGAUAUCAGUACUGUCACCGAUUUAGGUUACUCUACUACAUUAAGCAAUUGAGAAGAAAUUCCUAUUCUUGAUAUGCCGAUAGAUAUUGUUGAUGACCUUUAUGAUGGGAGAUACUACAGAUCAAUUAUCGAGUGCGAAACCUACGAUGACUUCUACUUCUUGUGAAGAAAGUAACUAAGAAAACUUUUUUACUGUCUGCCCAUUAAUAAAGUUUAUUUUUGCAGAAGCUACUGAUGGUCAAGUGCCAAAUAUUCAUGACAUUUAAUGAAUAUUCUGCAAAAACCCUACGAAGUAUUAGACAUCCCCGUUGAGCAUGCUUUUACUACAGAAUCCCUGCAACCAGUAAAUGAAAUGCAGACCAAAAAUUAUGCCGACGUAGGACUUUGUACUGACCAUAGUGACAUAGAAAAUGAUCUCUUUCUGAGUCAGAUGCUGAAGAUAAUUAUAUUAAGAAUCAGAACGAAAAUAUUCAUGAUGUUUUCAAUGAAAAUCGGAGCAGCAUAAACAUUAAAAAGGGAAAAAAGAGAGUAAAGAAUGAUUCAGAAUAUAAAAACAAAUGUAAGACAACAAGCAGGAACUUGUGGAAAAGUAUAUAUCUCUAGUAGAAAAACAUCAGUUCGUGCUAGACAACUAAAGGCAAAAUGCAAAGAAACCCGUAAGCUUAAAUGUUUGGGUUAUUUUCGAAGUUAUUUUCGAGAAAGAGCGUAUAAUAUUUUAAAAGUAAUUUUGGAAUAACGAUAUUGUUUACGAUAGAAAGAGACCGUUUAUAGCAGCUUGUAUAGAAGAAACCCAGGUACAGUCAGUGACAGCGGUCCGAAAUGGAGCUAGAGAAGGUAAAAGAGCUGCUACAUACUUCUAUUCUUUAACUUGAAACCCCAUUUAGAAGAAUUUAAAAAAAAUCCCUGAAAUUUUGGACAUAUCUCAAAAUUUUGCAGAUUAUCCCUUCGAAAAACCAUUGCAGGUUGGAAAGGUCAUAGGUCUCAGAAUAAAGUACCGGAUGAAAUUCGACAAAAUAACAUGAAUGUGACCUAAAUGUGAUUAAAAUACACCCACUUUACUCUGACCAGUGUAUAGCGGAAAAAUUCCCGCUUGGCCAAAUUGGAAAGUUGUGGCUUUAUAGAAUUAUAUAUUCUCAGUUUAGCCUAAUAUUUAAAACACCUGUGAUGCCUAUUAGUAACAAAGAGCUGCUAAAAAUACGAAAAACAAAAAAGUUAUUACGAUUGAUCAUGAAAAAUGUUUGCCAAUUUCAUUCCUCAAAAAUGCACAAAGCUUCUACUCCCUUAAACAUUGAACCUUACAAUUCAUAGCUCAACCAUUAAUAACACCCUUUGUAUGAUGUGGGAUGAGACUGUUUCUGCUAGAUGUGGAAACGAAAUUUCGUCUUUAAUUUUAUUUUAAAAUGACUAUUAAUUUCCCCUCUAGAUAAUCAAAUUGAAGAGUUGGCAAUAUGAUCAGACAACUGUCCUUCCCAGAAUAGGAAUUUAAUGACUGUGAUGUGUUAUCUUUACAUUGUUUCUAUUUGCCCAAAGCUUAAAAUCAUCAACCAUAAACACCUACUAAGAGGGCACAUACAUCUUAAAGCAGAUACUGACAUUGUAUUAAUUGAGAGGCAAAAAAAGGAAGCUGCUUUUGAUAGAUAACCACUCCAAGGGCAACUUGUAAGAAUUAGCUCUCGAAAGUUCUCUGUAAUUAAUAUGGGUACAAAUGAUUUCUUGGACUCGGAGUUUUGUAUUAUUUUAUAUUAUUAUAUUAUUAUAGAAUUUCUAUAACCAUGUUACAUAAGCAGCCUGAUAGGUAAAAACGAACACCACACUCUAAAAUGGCCUUCCCCCAAAAGCAUUCAACUCGUGUUCGCACUAAGGUGAGAAGAUUUUUUAGCAUUAAUUUAAAUAAUUAAAUAAUAUUUUUACCAGAAUAUCAGUAAAGAGACAUCCAUAAUUACUUGCAUUUAUUAGUUUAUCAACAUUGUUAUUAAUAUUGAUGAUUAGUUUUUAUAUGCAUUAUUGUGUAAAUUACUGAUUAUAGAUUUCAUAUAUUUUUAUUGACAUAUUUUUUAUGGGGUUAGUUCUUAUUGUAUCAGAUUUUGCUCCCUGAUUAAACGGAAAUGAUUUAUCUUUAUUUUAAUUUGCAAAGACCAUAUCAGGAUAUGGUUCUUUUUACAAAGAAGUGGUGUUUUUUUGCAAAGAAGAAAAAUUAAUUGUUGUUAACAAGAAGUAUUUUGAUUUUGGCUUAAGUUACAAACUUGGCUUGUAUUUUUUGCGCCCUGAUGGUAACUGAGCUUAAAGUUUACAAACUCUAUUGUACUUUAUCUACUACAUAGUCUACUUCUCUGUGUGAGAUAGAAUUUUUUGAUAUAUUGCUAUUUUUUUUCGUCAUGUUCUAUAACUUUUAUACCUCAUCCAAAUAUUACAAUCCCUUAAAAAAUAUGUUUAUCACUUUUAAAUUGUUUUUACUUUUCCACAUAUUGAUUGCCAUUUAUCAAGGGUACUUACUGGCAAAUGAAUUAAGUACCUUAAAAAUUACCUGUAAAAAUUGCACAUCAGUACUUGACUCCAGCCUCUCUAUGUUUCUUCAUAACAACCUUAUUCUUUUCUACAAUAAGCGUUUCCUCUUCGCUGUUUUCUGAACACUUUCUAUUAUCUCUUAACAGUCUAUAUUUCUCCUCACCAGUCCCAUCAUACUUAUAUUUCUCCUUCGACCUGGAUAUUUUCUCUAAAUUUUUACUCGAAUCCACAUCGCUGCCAUAUUUGCUUGCUCUGCGGUACUUCUUGUUCUCCCUCGUCUUCGCUUGUUUACUCUUAGAGAUUUUCUCCUCCUCAUUGGCUUUAUUGUUCAUCUCUAGAUCGAGAUCAUGCGCGUUCGCCUGGACGGCUACAUCCAUGGAAGUUUUGGACUGUCGUGAACCGCGAUUUUUUUCAAAUCCGACGCUUACAGUCGAAUUGAGAGAGCUCUGGGCAUUUUGCAACUGUUUGAUCUCCGGGCAGCUGGAACUGUCGCUGUGGUGGCCUUUUUGAUGGCGAGCCUCGCACGAACCCGAAUCGGAGCUGUAUUUUUUUCUGUAAAUAAAUUUAAUAGAGAAAAGUGAAGUUUUGGCUCAUAGUUUCGAAAAGUAAAGAUAAUGUUUAAUGACAAAUUUAUUAUGUUUUAGUAUUACCACAGAUUAAAUAUUAACAGAUACGAAAGUAAAGCGAGAUCGCCGAUUUCAAAACAUCUUUUAGUCACGCCUCUCCAGAAGCCGCCGGCGUCUUGUCGCAGAGUACAGGAGCCAGUCCUCGCGAGUGUGUAUUGCGUCUAAUUUCAAAUCGCACAUUUGUGCGUAGGCAUGUAGCUAUUUUAUCAAAAUGAUUGUGCAUAAAUGUAUUUAAGGUUCCAAUAAAACUGAUAAACGAAAGUCACUUUUUGGAUUUUUAAGAAAUUAGGCAAAAGACAAAGUACCCUCAUAGAAAAUAGUCGCAAGGAUUUAGGUCUGGUGACCUGGCCGGCCACGCUAUUGGCCCUCUUCGUUCUAUUUAUCUUCCUGGGAACACUGUCUGGUCUUGUUCGUCUGAGUAUGGGGCAGCCAAAGGAGGGAUAAGAUCUUCUUGAAGAAAAUUCAAAUAGCGUUGUCCUGUUAAGUUUUCUUCGAAAAAGUAUGGCCCUAUUACUUUAUUUUCCACGAUACUUAUUAUUUAAAUGUAAUAUAUUUCUUAUUCUUAUUA